rnacentral:rRNA from 1 species
CCUACGGGAGGCAGCAGUGAGGAAUAUUGGUCAAUGGCCGGAAGGCUGAACCAGCCAAGCCGCGUGAAGGACGCAGGUGCCAAGCAUUGUAAACUUCUUUUGUCAAGGGACACAAUCACGCUCGAGAGCCUGACCGAGGGUCCUUGAAGAAAUAGCCUCGGCUAACUCCGUGCCAGCAGCCGCGGUACUACGGAGGAUGCGAGGGUUAUCCGGAUUUAUUGGGUUUAACGGGUGCGUAGGCGGACUGUUAAGUCAGCGGUAAAAGCCCGGGGCUCAACCCCGGCGAGCCGUUGAAACUGGCUGUCUUGAGAUGUCGAGAGGUAUGCGGAAUGCGCAGUGUAGCGGUGAAAUGCUUAGAUAUGGCGCAGAACUACGAUGGCGAAGGCAGCAUACCGGCGGCGAUCUGACGCUGAGGCACGAAAGCGUGGGUAUCGAACAGGAUUAGAUACCCUGGUAGUC